rnacentral:lncRNA from 10 species
AGAAAGGCUAGGCGCCUCUGGCCAACCUCCUCCUCCGCUUUCUCACUCGUACUCGACUACUAAGCAGGAACCGCAGUCCCAGAAAAGGGACUUGGCCAAGGUCACACUGCGGGUGCGUGAGAAAACAUCCAGAUGCCCUGGUUCCCAGCGCACUCUUUCAUUCUGUCCCAAUUCAACAAGUAUUUAUUGAGCUCCUGCAGUGUGUGCCCAGCACCGUGCAAUGAGGUGUAGGAGAAGUCGUACUCUUUUGUGCUUUGCGCCUUUUGCUCAUAGGCACCCUGCUUGGAAUGCCCUGCCAUUUCUCCCCUGCUAAUCCUUCAAACUCCAGCUCAAACGUUAUCUCCUCAGUGAAGCCUUCCCUGACUCCCAAAGGAGACUAAGGCACACCUGCUAAUUUGCCCCCUCCCUCCCGUAGAAAAUAUAUUAUGGAGCUUAACUUGUUCAACUUGAAUCAACUUGUUAGGUGUUAUAUAGUGUACUUUGCUGUUUAUCUCAUCUCUCUUCUCUAUAUUCUGGGCAAGUGAUUCCUGUUCUUGGAUGCGUAAGAUUAAAAAAAAAUAGAGGAAACCCCAAGAUUACUAAUUUCUUACUUUGCCCAAAGAAGACAAUUUUUAAAACUACCUAAUAUUAUUUUAUAAAAGGAAGCACAUUUUCAUAUAAGAGCAUAAUUCUUCAAUAAAAGCAAUUCUUUGCAUUAACUAUAUUUAUGAAGAAACUACAUUGAUCCUUCAGGAAAGCAUAGAACUUAAAUAGGCGGAAAGGAGGGGAAAAAUGAAAGAAGGCAGGAGGAAGAAGAGAAAGAGGGCAGGAGAAGUGGGGGGUUGUCACUAAAACAAGCCCCAUUCAGUAUUAAACUCUGUGCCUUGCCCUACCAAUGCAACUUAUAGUGAAAACAGCUUCUCCAACGUGCCUUUAAAAUGUAUACAUUAUCUUGCUUCAGUUACUUGGUUGUUUGACUGUUGAGCAUGCCGGCUUUCUUUCAUUGAGAUUGCAAGAAGGUGUGUUGCAUUGUGUAUGUGGCUUUCAAAAUGAAUCAUUCAUUAAUAUCUAAUGAGGCUGACCAAUUUAAAACUUGUGGAAGUGAGGCUGAUGAUGGUUUGUUCUAUGGUCCCUAAUGCACCAAUCCCCAGGGGUCUGAGGCCAGUGAGGCUGAAUGGGCCAUGGCUUAGUCCCCAAAAACAAGAGACUUGAUUAUCCAAAUGAAACAAGAGUCAAGUGCUGCAUGAUAAUGCAGGCACUCAGGUAAUAGCACCAGGAACUGUUAAUAAGAAGCUAACGAAAUAGUCUAUUUUAUUUUAUUUUAUUUUAU